GAUGAACGCUGGCGGCGUGCCUAAUACAUGCAAGUCGAGCGAACAGACGAGGAGCUUGCUCCUCUGACGUUAGCGGCGGACGGGUGAGUAACACGUGGAUAACCUACCUAUAAGACUGGGAUAACUUCGGGAAACCGGAGCUAAUACCGGAUAAUAUAUUGAACCGCAUGGUUCAAUAGUGAAAGACGGUUUUGCUGUCACUUAUAGAUGGAUCCGCGCCGCAUUAGCUAGUUGGUAAGGUAACGGCUUACCAAGGCAACGAUGCGUAGCCGACCUGAGAGGGUGAUCGGCCACCAUGGAACUGAGCCACGGUCCAGACUCCUACGGGAGGCAGCAGUAGGGAAUCUUCCGCAAUGGGCGAAAGCCUGACGGAGCAACGCCGCGUGAAUGAUGAAGGUCUUCGGAUCGUAAAACUCUGUUAUUAGGGAAGAACAAAUGUGUAAGUAACUAUGCACGUCUUGACGGUACCUAAUCAGAAAGCCACGGCUAACUACGUG
rnacentral:rRNA from 1 species